UACUGUAUAUGUAAAAGAGGAGCUGCGCAAACAACUCCUCUAACAGCACCGUUUAAGACGGUGACCGAGUGUUCUUAUUUUUUA
rnacentral:sRNA from 1 species